rnacentral:rRNA from 1 species
GAUGAACGCUAGCUAUAGGCUUAACACAUGCAAGUCGAGGGGAAACGGCAUUAUGUGCUUGCACAUUUUGGACGUCGACCGGCGCACGGGUGAGUAUCGCGUAUCCAACCUGCCCUUUACUUGGGGAUACCCCGUUGAAAGACGGCCUAAUACCCGAUGUAAUUCAUUGAUGGCAUCAGAUAUGAAUAAAAGAUUUAUCGGUAAAGGAUGGGGAUGCGUCUGAUUAGCUUGUUGGUGAGGUAACGGCUCACCAAGGCGACGAUCAGUAGGGGUUCUGAGAGGAAGGUCCCCCACAUUGGAACUGAGACACGGUCCAAACUCCUACGGGAGGCAGCAGUGAGGAAUAUUGGUCAAUGGGCGCAAGCCUGAACCAGCCAAGUAGCGUGCAGGAAGACGGCCCUAUGGGUUGUAAACUGCUUUUAUACGAGAAUAAUUUGAUGCACGUGUGCGUUAUUGCAGGUACCGUAUGAAUAAGGACCGGCUAAUUCCGUG